GAAGGAAAUGAAUCAAAUUCCUCCUUCUUCGAUUUUGACUAGGCAGGGGGGAAAAACCCAAGUUGUGGCUUUGUCCCCAUUCCAUGGCAAGCCAUUUGAAAGAGAAUCACAGGGAUUGAACUUUUACUACUAGCAACAUUAAAAAGUUACAUUUGGCUCAAAUGUCCUACAGGAAUUGCGAACCAGUGAAUGCCAGCACAUAUGGAUUGAUUGAAGAAUACAGUAGUGGCACUCACAGAAUCCACUCAUACUGACACACAAAUGUUCCCCAAAAGAGAACCACCAUUGGUUCCAACGCCUGAGAAGCCAACCUUUCAAACAUCCUUUGGAGAGGAGGGUGCAAAGAGUGGUCCUCAUCCGUAAGAGCAGCACUGCAUU